CACAUCUUUCAUGGGUCCCACAACUUUUCAACCGCACAUUUUAAAAUUUUUUAUCACAAUCUACUAAAAAAUCUAAUUUAAUCCCCACCAAACACUCAAUGUGCAACUUUUGGUUGAUUGUCGCCCUAUACUUUUAUCCUUAAAUAUCCCGUGGCCUCUCAUGCAAGAUGAUUAGAGCUGGAUUCUAAUGGUGAGAGCAAAAGCUGUUAAUUAUAUGUUUGUAAUUGUGUAGCUAGUUUUUUUUAUUGUUUGAGCUUUGACACGUCACUGCCAAUGAUUAUUAGGACAUGAAAAUGUUUCCAAUUAAGACCUACUGAAGUAGGUAUUUGGAUGAGCUUGAGCUAAUGGGAGUUCUCCUUGUUCCCUCAUUUUAUCUCCCCAUGCUGAGAGAUAUCUUGUUUCCCACGAGGCUUGAUGGAAAUCUUUCAUUUUUUCUGAAUCUGAUUAUGAGUCUUAUCUUACUCCCACUGGCACACAGAUACAUGUAUGCAAUGUUCUAGAUGUAAGAAAAUGAUCAGUGUGCCGCCCACCAAAUUCCAAGAUCCAAGCUAUUGAACCUUGGAAAUAUGAAGACUUGAUUUAUUUUAUGUAUUUAUUUUAGGAUGGACUUCACUUGUUCAUGUGUUGUGAAACAGUGCUUCGCAUGCUGCAGUGUUAGAUACUAUCUUCAGAACUACACAUGAGACUCUCUUGGAUCAUGUAAUGAAUUUUUAUCGCUUGCAGAAAUUUCAGCAUAAAUACUAGGUUGGUUGAGCUCUUUUCAUAUUGAGGACUUAAUAAUAUCUCUAUUCUGUUGAUUUUUGUCCAGGAGGAGAAGAUUAAUACUGUCAAUGGGCAGAAAGAAAAGGGAAGACUGGAACGGCAGGAGUGUGAAGGUGAUCUAAGCAUAUCCUCGAUUUAACAUUAUGCUGUGUUGUCAUAUUUUUGUGUUAAAUUUUUUUUCCUUCCAAUGAAUCUGAGAAACUUUUCGUACGAUUUUUGCCUUACUGGGCUUUCAUUAUCAUUUGAGUAGAAAUGCGAUUUGGUACCAAUGGCAUUAAAACAGAUGAGUCCAAUUAAUUAGAUUAUAUAUUCUCUCAUAUAGUUAACUUUAAUUGUACUUAUCCUUUAAUGCCAAGCGAACUAAAAUAAAUUAAACUGGUGUUUUAGCAUUAAUGUGCCAGAUAGCAUUAUUUUUAUCUUGUAUUUAACUUUUUUUUUUUUGGAUGAUUAAUAGAUGUUGCUCAAGACACAGCUGGUUGACAUUAAAAUAACAAGGAAUCUUCAGCGUCAAAAUAACUGCAGAAUUUCUCAAAGAAUAAAGAAUCAUACCAAUUCAACAAAUUGUUUGCGGAAUUUAUCACCUUUCCUUUUAUUUCAUCCAAAGAAAUCUUUAUUGCUUUUUCUUUCCAGCUCAGGAAAAGUUUCGUUGUCGAUCAUGUCCAUAUAAGAAUCCAGUUUUUCUUCUCUCAGUCUGGCCAUACAAAACUUUUAAAAUACAAACCUUAAAGUUUCAACCAUCUUUCUGCUCAAUAUUUUCAGAAGCUCUUUUCCUCAAAUUUUGCUUUUCUAUUUGAAACUGGCUUGUUGUGCCCAUAAAACUUUAUUAAGGCAUGAUUGUUUUGAAUUUUGCCCUUUCUUUUUCAUAAUGGGUUUGUAUUUUGGCCAUUCUUUUCACGUCAUCUACAUUGCAUAACUGUUCGAGAUUUUUGCCCGUGCACUUCAAUUUUGUCUUCAGUAAUUUCCAUCUCUUGAAAUCGUCAUUCAAUUCCUUUGCAUAGUUCCCGAGAGGAUUGUAGUUGUAUCCCAUUGAAAAAGUCAACCUAGCAUCAUUAGCAAAUUCCUCUGCAUCAAAGUAUGUAUUGUCCUCUAGUUUACUUUUUAUCGUUCCAAAAUCCAUUGGUUCAAUGGUUAUUGAAAUCAAGAGAUCAUUGGUUGAUUUAAAGAAAAUCUGUGAGGGUGUCCAUCAAUGAUCUCAAAAUGCGACUACACUGGUAACCUCAUUUGUAUAAAAGUUGAAGACAAUAAAAGUUGUUUGUCUACGUAGAAUUAGUUUGGCAAAUGCUUCGUUUCAUUUUAUUCUUUUGUCAAAUGAUAAUGACAUGUAAUAUAUGUUGUAUAUACAAGUAAAUUAAUUAUGAAUAAUAAUAAUAUAUGUUGUCAAAUUUUAUUGCAGUCAAAUGAG
rnacentral:lncRNA from 1 species